CAUGCUGCUGGCUAAUGGGUUAACAUCUAGCCACAGUAUCAAAGAAUUGAAUAAAAGAGAGAUAAUAAAAGAAUAAAAGAAAGAUAUUUGUGGUGUCCAGAACACCUCAACCUCUAAAGACUACAGAAUGGUGCCUGCCUUCAUAAGCUGCUUGAAGAACACGGCUCCUCUGAACAUACUGUACAUGCAGGCAGCCCUAAUGUCACAUCCCAUUUACUCGUCAACUUCUUACUUAGGGCUGAUUUUGACCUGACACUUCUGUGUGAAAAUAUUGACGUUGUUUUGGAGAUAAUUGCAUGGCUGGCUAGCUUACUAGUCCGCUUGUUAAAUCUACUGUCAAAUCAAAUUUUCUUGAAAUAGAACACAGCUAAUGUAAUUUAGAUUCAUUCAUGCUAGCGCGCCAUGAGCUCUUUGGUUCAAAGUGAGUUCAGUGCCCUUAAUUCCGGAGUAGUUGCAGUUUCGUAAGUUGCAGUUUAUGUGGAUUCAGAUUGGUUGGUGCAAGGAGGACGUGACAGCUGCUGAAUAUCUUUAUUCUCAUUUUGGCAAACUCUUUAACAGGUCAGAGCCCUAAAUUCUGCUGUGAACAGCACAUUUCAUGUCCGUCUGAUGGACCAUUAGUGAAUUAAAGACUAAUUUCUGUAGAGGGACUCGCCAAAUUUUUAUACACUAGUUUUAUCCCAAAUUUUGUCCAUCAGAGUGUAAAAUUGUGUAACUUUGAUACCAGACACAGUUGAAAGUUGUUGCAUCUUUAUCUUUAACUCCAGACCUGCACAUUUUACUUCCUCCAGUUUGAUAUUUGUUGACCAGCUCUUAGUUUUUGCACAUGAAUGAAAUGGUUUUUGGCAGCAUGUCUGUUCGCUGCAGCAGGCAUUUCCUGGCAAUUCACUCAGGACUUAAGUGGUUGCCGGAUGCUUUGAAUGAAGUGGGAAAGUUGUCCUCUGGCUGGGAAUGAAGACCAAAAAGUGUUUGAAAAAAUAUUGUGUAAAAAAAAAAAAAUAAUCAAAGCAUCAUUCCAUUUGGCCAGAAGCACGAUUGAUAUUAGAAUUCACUAUAUGGACAGUUUUGCAGCAUAAAUGCAACAAUAAACACUCUUUACUGGUAUAAAGCACACCAAUAACUCCAUGCCACCUGUGCUGAAGUCAGUUCCCCAGUUAGGCCACUCCAGUUUAGAAAGUCUGGAGAUGCCCCUUCUUGUAAGUGCACAACCCAGGUACAUUAUGUUAUUUUGCUUAACAACAGGUGGAUCCAUCCAGAACAGAGGGCUCUGCUGAUGGAUCAGAGAAAACUGAAGUGAAAGACAAGAAUUCAACUUCUGUCUGCAUAAAAGUAAGACAACUAAGAGUCCUACUUUUCCGACCACUGGAGACCCCAUCUCUAGUAUUUUCAAUUCAUGACACUUAAGUCCAAGUAAAGUCAUUGGUGUUUGAGUCCAUGUAGAGUUAUAAGUCCUUUAUGAUAUUAUUACAUCAAGUCAAAAUCUUUUCAAAUUUGUGACUCCAGCCCAAGUCAUGUGACUCGAGUCCUCACCUCUGCUCUCUCUUCUCCCUCUGAUGUCCAGUUCUCUACCCUGAUAUGCAGUUGUUUCUGUGCCUUAAUGUAAACAGAAUUCUAUUUUCAGUUUUAAAAACGCAGUCCUCAAAACCACUAGAACACACAGACUGUUGCUACAGCAGGGUUGCCACUAGGAAUUGCAACUGCAAAAACCAAGCAAAAGACGGAAGCAAACUGUGGGGUUGGUCGCUUUGUUUUGUUGUAUAGAUGAGGAAUUAGCAGUGUAAUGAUGUGACGUAUACUAUUGCGUCAAGUCUUAAUGGAGUCCUGUGCUCAAAGGUCAAAGCCAUGUUUACCACUGGUUUAUGGGAGAUAAGUACAAACCUUAAACAGUUGAUUGGACAGACUUCUCUCCCCAUUUGAUUUUGAGUGAUAAAUCCAGUUUGCUCUCCACACUUUACUUUUUGAUGUACUCCUGCCCAAUUAAUGGUUAAGCAGACUUCUCUAAGCUAAUCAGCAGCUAAAGUUAAUUAAAUAAUGACAGUAAAAAAAAAAAGACAAAAAGAGGGGCACAUGGGUCAGGACUAAUCAAAGACAAUCAGUACAUUUGCAUGCACGGUUAAGUCAAGCCACGGUCACAGCUCAAUUAGGCGAUUUAACUGGACCUCUGUCCUUGUCCCAGUUUACAAGCACUGGACCAAAAUCAAAUUAUGGACAGAAGCAUGUCGACCCCUAACCACAUUAUCCAGGUAUGUUGGUCCGACUAUGACAAGUUCGAUUUAGGGCAGUUUCAGUCGGACAAAUGUGUUUAUAUGUUUUUUGAAAGUCCUGUCUUGGUAGCACCAUGGCAAUUAAUCGACUCUUUUUUCUAACAGUGUCUAAAUAUAUUGAAUAGACAGGAAUUGGCCUCAAAAACAAGUUGGAAUUAACAAAAAACAUUAGCAAACACACAGACGAUCUUCUUUAGGGACAAACAGCAUCGUUUUAUCACCAACAGUCAUCUACAGCAGGUGAAGAAGGGAAAGGUGAACGUGAGGUGAAAGGGGAAGUAAGAGUGCUGAGAGGAGUAGGGAAGUAGAAGAUGGAGCGUUUGUGUAGUAUCCAAAGGUGAUAAAAGGACGGAUUUUUGACAGCAAGGUCUCUUCAAAAUUUAAUGGCACAUCGCUGAUCCCCCAUCAGCACUAAAAAACAGUUUUAACAGCUGAGAAAAGUCGUGUGUGUGUUUGUGUGUUUGUGUGUAGAUCUGCAUGUGUACCUGUGUUGUUUGUGCUCCUUCCCCAGCAUGCUUUCUCUCUCUCUCUUUCUCACUCUUGAGCAUUAAUACAUCCACCUCUCCUUCCACAGUUUUGUUUACAAGACUGUGUGUGUGUGUGUGUGUGUGGGUGUGUUUGCAUGCAUGUGUGUAUGCGCUUCCUGCUAUUGUAUUUUACACUAGCCUUCCACCUGGCAGUAAUGACUUUGCGUGUACUUGAGGAACCUGCCUACACUAAGUGCAGUUUCCAUGCUGGGUUCAUGGCUUUUUGUUGGGGAGGGUCAUUGCAGUCGUUAAAACUCCAGGGGUCUUGUUUUUAAAACUGAUUGUGCAUUCAUUUCUCCAUUUGGCAAGUAUAAUUCUCAUGACAGUAUCCUUCAGUUUUGCAUAACCAGCCUAGUGGCAAAAUACACCUGUACAAUUACAAUAGCUUUAAUACUUCAUUCCUUUAAAGAGUGAUAUGUCAAAACAGUUGCCUUCAUACUUGGAUCUGAUGUUGUGAAAUGAUAUCUACUGUAACAUUGAUAGUUUCACCUACAAUCCCAAAAGCAGCACUACAGGUCAACAUCCCUGCAUUUGACAUCCGUUUGCUGCUGUAGCUACAGCUGCAUAACGACUCAUUUUAACUUUUAACUUUCUCCAGAAGAUCUCCAAAGUGGAAAAGUAAUAGACAUAGAAAGUUAAAGAAAAAAAGCUUAUGAAGAUAAACAUAUGCAGUGAAUCAGAUUUACACAGUGCAGAUCUGAAGUGUCAUUCUUCUGUAUAUGAUGGAACUGACUUGAUAAGAACUGCGCACCAAGAUGCAGAAGGUAAAACUAGCAAAGAGAUCAAAUUUAGAACCUGGCCGAAACUAACACAACAUCGAAGUCUUUAUAUGUUAAAAUGAAACACAAUAAAACUUAUGCACAUACAGGACAAAAUGGGCAGGGAUACUAGAGGUGGGAGAAAAAAUCGAUACAGCAUAGUAUUUUGUCGGGUGAUAUAUCGUAUCGUCUCAUCUACCAAGUAUCGAUUUUUCAAAUUAAUUGCUAAUAUGAAGUCAAAUCAAUAAUAAUGGAAAAACAAAAUCAACUGUUUGUCCAGUGAGGUUGGCAGAGGUGACAUCAUAGAGCAGGAGAAAGUUAGUGCAACAAAUAUAUAUAUAUAUAUAUAUAUAUAUAUAUAUAUAUAUAUAUACAUAAGGUCUGUAAGAUGUGCUGUAUGAAAAUAAAAUACUGUAUAAAUAAGACAAAUAUAAAGGAAAGACAAAAGCUAAAUUAGCUAAACAGUUGAAAAAAUUUUAUAAAUCGUGCUAUAGUGUAUCCCAAUACUCACUGUAUUAAAAAAUGUUAAAAAUCGCAAUGAUAUUGUAUAGUGGCCCAAGUAUCCUGAUAAUAUCAUAUCAUGGGGCCACUAGUGAUUCCCACCCUGAAGGGAUACCAGGUACAGCUAUGAGCGAAGGAAAAUCAGUACACAGCAGAAGUUUCACAAAGAAGCUUUGAACACAGCAGCUUUUAGGAAAACUCCAGUCACUCCUUCUCAACUUCUUUCGAUGUGCAUUGAUCCGCUAUCCUCUGAGAAUGAAAUAACAAGCUGAGUUGAAGAGAUAAUUUGCAAGCUGGCUGUAACGUAGCAGAUUGAGAAACUGGAGUUUUUCCACAGGAAUUUCUGAUUGAUUGACAGCUCUGUCAACAAAUGCAAAACAGGGAUGCAAAGGGGCUGGUGUUCUAGCCGGUACGUUUGUCCUGAUUUGCAAACCCAAUUAUAUAAAUAAAAGAAAAUUUGAUUUGGAAAAGUCUGCAUCUUGAAUUAAUCUUUAAAUUGCAAAACUUUCUUAAAAAAAUAUGAAGAAAGGAAGGGAUGUGCUCUCCUUCAAGGGCUUUUACUUAGUCUGACUACUUCCUUGAUUAAAAAUGAUUUUGAUAGUCAGGCCUUCUCCUAAAAUUGUUGCCCAAGGAUGCUUUAGCUGGCAAAAUGCAAUUUCAAAAUGCUGUGGGAAAACAUAUCUGCCAACCACGCUGACAGCUGCCCCUUUUUUUAAGUGUGGAGACAUCAUCGCUGGACAUUUAAAAUAUGGAUGGCAGACUGCGCACAAACACGCACAAACGCGCACAAACGCACGCACGCCAAAUCUGAGAGCAGGACAAGAGGUUCCUAAUGGAUAAAACUAGUUGUCAUUUGGAUACAAGCAUAUUUGGUUUCUAUCUUCCCCCUCUAAUGCAUCCAAUAUGUCAAGAUGAAUAUCACAGAGAGAAAAAUUCUGGUGAAGAAGGAGUGGUACGAGCAAGAAAUGAGACACUUGAGCAUAAAGAUAAUGUGGCAGAUGGGGAAAGAUGUCCGAGGUGACAGGAGAAGUGCUGUUCAGGGUAAAAUGCUUCAGAAACAUUUCUCCUAUCCAGCAAAGCUAAAUAUAGGCUCAUUAAAAAUCUAAAGAGCCCAUUGGGGGGGAGGGGCAGGAGUGUAGAUACAGACAGAGUUUGUCAGAAACACAGACAGAGAGAGAUUAGAGGGGGAGAUGGACAGGUAAAGAAGCUUUGAGGGCUCGGGUGAUGAUGAGAGACCAAGAGUUGUGUUGGAUUUGGUAUGAAAAAGGCAAGAGCGCACAUAAAAAUGCAAGGAGCUUUUAUAUGUUUUAUAUAAUUUUUUUCUUAUAACCACACGUGCAGGAGACAAGUGUGUCACUCCCAUCUCAUGGCAGCAACCAGCUUGCCUGCUUCUCCACUCUAUUCUCUGCUCUCAUCCAGUAUUCAAAAGCCGGGCUCCUUUUUGGCCAGCAGAAAUAGAAAAACGCCUCAUUGUCAUGUUUCACUUUCAUUACGUCUUUAAUUGAAAAUCGAGGUGGAAGAAUAGAGAGGAGCGAGGGUAAAAACUGAGGAGAUAAAAGGCUAUAUAAAAUAAAAGGGAAGAUCUGAACGGACAAAGUGUCACUUUGUCCAAAGAAAUAUCGAGUUCAAGCUGGAACACGUGCCUUCCUACACAGUUUGUAAAGAUACCGCAAAAAUAAUCCAAAAUAUAACAGGCUCCACACAGCCAUAAAAGGUCAAAUGUUUGCUCAACAUCUCUUACUUACUUGCAGAUGGGUGGACUGUUUGUGCACUCUGAGUUUAUUCACCCCAAAUAGCUAACGUUCAGACUGUACAGACAUUUGCUGUAAGCUAGUUAGCAACGGUUGCCAGGGUGUGUGUGUGUGUGUGUGUGUGUGUGUGUGUGUGUGUGUGUAGCAGAUCAGUCUCUGUCUGAUCUCAGAACUCACCAGAAACUCAGAAUUUUCUGCUGUCUCUGUCUUUUUUCCUUCAGUUUCAGUAUGUUUAUAAAGCAGGAUAGAUUCGUACGGCUGUGGGAUAAUGGAAAUUUGCGCUCAAAGCACUUUUUUGUGUCUUAUGCCUUAUGUGAACCAGCCUUGAGCAACUUUUUUUGCAGUUUUUGCAUUAAAUAUUUGAUCUGAAUUUUAUUUCACAUUUAUUGGUCUUUAUUUGCAACUACUGCUAACAGAGCUUUGUGUUAUUUUA